rnacentral:lncRNA from 1 species
AUAAAAAUAAUGCAUUGUAUGCCGGAAGGGAUAAAUCUGGGGCUGAGUACAAGCAAAACAAGACCAAAGGAAGCUACCUGAGCAGGUAUUCCAGAUACUCAUGUCAUACACCAAGGUUGUACCAGUGCCCCUUUCUCUGUGACACAUCCAUCCACUGGAAACUUUCGUACAACUAGCUGAAAGAAGAGAAACAUCCUAUUUCAUGUCACUGGAGCCCUAAUGAUCGCAGCCAUUUCAGGAAAUGCCAUCAAUUACAGUGAGGAGCUCAUUCAGAAGUGAAAGAUGAGUUCCAUUCUCUGUUACUUAGAGCUUUAGCCAGUACCUGGCAGUUCUAGACUACCCUUCUUGAAGAUCUGCCCUUCUUGAAGACUUACCCUAUGGAUUUAGAAAUUGCCUAGCCAGCUCCUAUAAUCAAGUUAAUUAACUGAUCUAUAUAUUUAACCAAUAACUAUUGAGCACCUACUGUGUCAUCCCUACAAUAAUACUGGACCCAGAGAAGGCAGAAGGUCUCAG